rnacentral:rRNA from 1 species
UACAGGGGGUGCAAACGUUGUCCGGAAUUAUUGGGCGUAAAGCGCGCGCAGGCGGCCUCUUAAGUCUGAUGUGAAAGCCCCCCGGCUCAACCGGGGGAGGGCCAUUGGAAACUGGGAGGCUUGAGUAUAGGAGAGAAGAGUGGAAUUCCACGUGUAGCGGUGAAAUGCGUAGAGAUGUGGAGGAACACCAGUGGCGAAGGCGACUCUUUGGCCUAUAACUGACGCUGAGGCGCGAAAGCGUGGGGAGCAAACAGG